AUUGAACGCUGGCGGCAUGCCUUACACAUGCAAGUCGAACGGUAACGGGCCUUCGGGUGCCGACGAGUGGCGAACGGGUGAGUAAUACAUCGGAACGUGCCCGAUCGUGGGGGAUAACGAGGCGAAAGCUUUGCUAAUACCGCAUACGAUCUACGGAUGAAAGCAGGGGACCGCAAGGCCUUGCGCGGACGGAGCGGCCGGUGGCAGAUUAGGUAGUUGGUAGGAUAAAAGCUUACCAAGCCGACGAUCUGUAGCUGGUCUGAGAGGAUGAUCAGCCACACUGGGACUGAGACACGGCCCAGACUCCUACGGGAGGCAGCAGUGGGGAAUUUUGGACAAUGGGCGCAAGCCUGAUCCAGCCAUGCCGCGUGCAGGAUGAAGGCCUUCGGGUUGUAAACUGCUUUUGUACGGAACGAAAAGCCUUCUUUUAAUACAGGAGGGUCAUGACGGUACCGUAAGAAUAAGCACCGGCUAACUACGUG
rnacentral:rRNA from 1 species